GAUGAAGAACGCAGCGAAAUGCGAUAAGUAAUGUGAAUUGCAGAAUUCAGUGAAUCAUCGAGUCUUUGAACGCACAUUGCGCCCCCUGGUAUUCCGGGGGGCAUGCCUGUCCGAGCGUCAUUACAACCCUCAAGCCCGGCUUGUGUAAUGGGCGGCCGUCUCUCCCCCCGGGGGGAGACGCCCCCGAAACUCAGUGGGGAUGUCGCGAUACCAAAGCCUCAGCUAAUGGGUAAACCACAGCUGCAAUGGCCGCGGCCGGCGUCCGCCUUCCACGGUCCGUCCGCCUAGCGCGGGCGGCCUUCUCAAGGUUGACCUCGGAUCAGGUAGGGAUACCCGCUGAACUUAAGCAUAUCAAUAAGCGGAGGA
rnacentral:misc_RNA from 1 species